AUUGAACGCUGGCGGCAUGCCUUACACAUGCAAGUCGAACGGUAACGGGCCUUCGGGUGCCGACGAGUGGCGAACGGGUGAGUAAUGUAUCGGAACGUACCUUUCAGUGGGGGAUAACGUAGCGAAAGUUACGCUAAUACCGCAUAUUCUGUGAGCAGGAAAGCAGGGGAUCGCAAGACCUUGCGCUGAUUGAGCGGCCGAUAUCAGAUUAGCUAGUUGGUGAGGUAAAGGCUCACCAAGGCGACGAUCUGUAGCGGGUCUGAGAGGAUGAUCCGCCACACUGGAACGGAGACACGGUCCAGACUCCUACGGGAGGCAGCAGUGGGGAAUUUUGGACAAUAGGGGCAACCCUGAUCCAGCCAUGCCGCGUGAGUGAAGAAGGCCUUCGGGUUGUAAAGCUCUUUCGGCCGGGAAGAAAUCGUAUCAGCUAAUACCUGGUGCGGAUGACGGUACCGGCAUAAGAAGCACCGGCUAACUACGUGCCAGCCGCCGCAGUAAAAC
rnacentral:rRNA from 1 species